GACGAACGCUGGCGGCGUGCUUAACACAUGCAAGUCGAACGGAAAGGCCCUGCUUUUGUGGGGUGCUCGAGUGGCGAACGGGUGAGUAACACGUGAGUAACCUGCCCUUGACUUUGGGAUAACUUCAGGAAACUAGGGCUAAUACCGGAUAGGAGCUCCUGCCGCAUGGUGGGGGUUGGAAAGUUUCGGCGGUUGGGGAUGGACUCGCGGCUUAUCAGCUUGUUGGUGGGGUAGUGGCUUACCAAGGCUUUGACGGGUAGCCGGCCUGAGAGGGUGACCGGCCACAUUGGGACUGAGAUACGGCCCAGACUCCUACGGGAGGCAGCAGUGGGGAAUAUUGCACAAUGGGCGGAAGCCUGAUGCAGCAACGCCGCGUGCGGGAUGACGGCCUUCGGGUUGUAAACCGCUUUCGCCUGUGACGAAGCGUGAGUGACGGUAAUGGGUAAAGAAGCACCGGCUAACUACGUG
rnacentral:rRNA from 1 species